rnacentral:rRNA from 1 species
UACGGAGGGUGCGAGCGUUGUCCGGAAUCACUGGGCGUAAAGGGCGCGUAGGCGGUUGUUUAAGUUUGGUGUGAAAUCUCCCGGCUCAACUGGGAGGGUGCGCCGAAUACUGAAUGACUAGAGUGCGGGAGAGGAGAGUGGAAUUCCUGGUGUAGCGGUGAAAUGCGUAGAUAUCAGGAGGAACACCGGUGGUGUAGACGGCUCUCUGGACCGUAACUGACGCUGAGGCACGAAAGCGUGGGGAGCAAACAGG